rnacentral:rRNA from 1 species
UUAGGGUUCGAUUCCGGAGAGGGAGCCUGAGAAACGGCUACCACAUCUAAGGAAGGCAGCAGGCGCGCAAAUUACCCAAUCCUAAUACAGGGAGGUAGUGACAAGAAAUAACAAUACAGGACUUUAAAUAGUUUUGUAAUUGGAAUGAGUUAAGUAUAAACCCCUUUACAAGUAUCAAUUGGAGGGCAAGUCUGGUGCCAGCAGCCGCGGUAAUUCCAGCUCCAAUAGCGUAUAUUAAAGUUGUUGCAGUUAAAAAGCUCGUAGUUGGAUUUCUGUUAAUAAUUUAUAUAUAAUAUUUUAUUAAUAUUUAUAUAGUAUUAACAUAAUUCAUAUUACUAUAUUUUAUAGUAUAUGAAAUUUUACUUUGAGAAAAUUAGAGUGCUUAAAGCAGGCAUUAGCCUUGAAUACUCCAGCAUGGAAUAAUAUAAAAGAUUUUUAUCUUUUUUAUUGGUUCUAAGAUAAAAAUAAUGAUUAAUAGGGACAGUUGGGGGCAUUUGUAUUUAACAGUCAG